rnacentral:tRNA from 1 species
AGCAGAGUGGCGCAGCGGUAGAGUGCUGGGCCCAUAAGCCAGAGAUCGAUGUAUCGAAACCAUCCUCGGCUA